CCUACGGGGUGCAGCAGUGAGGAAUAUUGGUCAAUGGGCGCGAGCCUGAACCAGCCAAGUCGCGUGAGGGAAGACGGUCCUAUGGAUUGUAAACCUCUUUUGUCGGGGAGCAAAAGACGCCACGCGUGGCGUUCCGAGAGUACCCGAAGAAAAAGCAUCGGCUAACUCCGUGCCAGCAGCCGCGGUAAUACUGAGGAUGCGAGCGUUAUCCGGAUUUCUUGGGUUUAAAGGGUGCGCAGGCGGCAGAUCAAGGCAGCGGUAAAAUUGAGAGGCUCAACCUCUUCGAGCCGUUGAAACUGGUUUUCUUGAGGGAGCGAGAAGUAUGCGGAAUGCGUGGGUGAGCGGUGAAAUGCAUAGAUAUCACGCAGAACUCCGAUUGCGAAGGCAGCAUACCGGCGCUCAACUGACGCGCAUGCACGAAAGUGUGGGUAUCGAACAGGAUUAGAUACCCUUGUAGUC
rnacentral:rRNA from 1 species